AACACUGAGAGUCAAGAUGUAAUGCCAUGGGGUAGGAAGCCCGGAAACUUCUCUGAUGACGUCAUCAUAAGUGGUCUCCAUCCACGGUGCUCUCCCCUCACGUGCAGCCUCAGCACCGACCCGAAGAUGCAGGGCCAAGCAGCAAUGAACCAAAACCUCUGCAGCCACUGGCCAAAAUAAACUUUUCUUCUUUUUCUCUUGCGUUGUCUCGGGUAUUUAUUAUCUGACUGUGUCUGAGAAACACAUUUUAGAACUGGCCAGACUGAUGGAACAGAAAAGACUUCUUAUAAUACUGUGGAGGAGAGAGAAGAAAGAGGUGGCAGAAAAUCUAGAAGGGGGUGAUCUGGAGAAGGUGAGGUGACCUUCUGUGGGAGAAAGGAAAUGUCAACCAUAGUAACAGAAGAGAAGGCCAGAAGAUCCAGGACAGACGCUGGUGGCCUGAAACAUUUGAUGGGCAGAGGAAAGGGACUCCUUCCUGGUCACUUUGAUUUUCCUGGUGUGUCAUAUGACAAGCUCACCAGCAGACAGUCCUCAUCCUGGCCCCAGCACAGUGAAAGCAGCCACACAGAACUGCAUUUCAAAGUGGAAACACUGUUCACGGGCCAUGUAAAGGCAGAAGCAGACCAGCUUUAUCCAGAAAUCAUAGUCUGCUAUAGUGGAGCAAAGUAUGCCAGCCACUUCUGUGAUAGAAGUGAGAAAGGGCCUUGGCUGGGGCCUGCUCCCUUAGACAGCACGAGGUGAGCAGGCGUGGAGCAGGAGGACCUCACGCAGGAGGAAUGGUGGGCCUCCCUCUUAUCUCCUACUAGCUGGUGUUCGCUUCUUCUCUCAACUAGCAUUUUCUACCACGUCUUUUAAAACGAUGGGUUAACUCUGACGCUGUGUAAACAGAAAGGAAACAAGCAGUGCUGUUGUCUGAAAGUUGACACAUCCUUCAUGCUGACCCAGGUACUGAAUACAACAGGAGCUUUGUGGAGGCACCGAGGACCAGCUUCCCCCAGAGCGGUCUUCACAUUGUGAAGUCCAUUACAGCCAGGACCCUGAGAUUCCCAGACAGUCAUCUACCACUGUGUGGGAUGAAGCUGUACUGUGGGUGGGUGUGUUCUAAUAACAGAAGGAAGUGAAACACUGAAGUAAUAAUGUCCUUUGGGUAUUCUAACUUACCUUUAGAUUUAAAAAUUAAACAAAAACUGCCCAAAUUA